rnacentral:rRNA from 1 species
AUACGUAGGUGGCAAGCGUUAUCCGGAAUUAUUGGGCGUAAAGGGUGCGUAGGCGGUUGAUUAAGUUUUAGGUGAAAGCGUGGGGCUCAACUCCAUACAGCCUAAGAAACUGGUCAACUAGAGUGCAGAAGAGGGUAGUGGAAUUCCAUGUGUAGCGGUAAAAUGCGUAGAUAUUAGGAGGAACACCAGUGGCGAAGGCGACUUACUGGACUGUAACUGACACUGAGGCACGAAAGCGUGGGUAGC